rnacentral:rRNA from 1 species
AAAUUCUAAUGUAAACUUAAAUGUUAAUCUGCAGAGGUACAGCUCUACAGAAUAAGAUUACAACCUUGAUUAGAGAGUAAGUAAUAUCGCAACCAUAGUUGGCCUAAAAGCAGCCACCAAUUAAGAAAGCGUUCAAGCUCAACAAUUAUACCCAAACUUAAUUCCAAAAGUUAAUACCAACUCCUAAUCUGACCACUGGAUUAUUCUACCUUUACGUAGAAGAGAUACUGUUAAUAUGAGUAACAAGAUUUUAUAUCUCCAAACACACAUGUAUAUCAGCCCGUAUCCCAACUGAUAGUUAACAAUUAGAUAAACCUAUAUAUUUAAUUAAUAAUUUAUCACUACAUUGUUAAUCCGACACUGGAGUGUACUUAAGGAAAGAUUAAAAAAAGUAAAAGGAACUCGGCAAACAUAAACCCCGCCUGUUUACCAAAAACAUCACCUCUAGCAUAACCAGUAUUAGAGGCACUGCCUGCCCAGUGACAUUAGUUAAACGGCCGCGGUAUCCUGACCGUGCAAAGGUAGCAUAAUCAUUUGUUCCUUAAUUAGGGACUUGUAUGAAUGGCCCCACGAGGGUUUAACUGUCUCUUACUUUCAAUCAGUGAAAUUGACCUUCCCGUGAAGAGGCGGGAAUGCAAAAAUAAGACGAGAAGACCCUAUGGAGCUUAAAUCUACAUGUUCAAUAAAAUUUAAAUUCCACCCAACAGGAAAUAACUACAAUUUGACUGAACAACAGAUUUUGGUUGGGGUGACCUCGGAGUAUAGUUCAACCUCCGAGUGAUUUUAACCAAGACUUACCCGUCAAGGUUGCAUAACUUAUUGAUCCAAUAAUAUUGAUCAACGAAACAAGUUACCCUAGGGAUAACAGCGCAAUCCUAUUUAAGAGUUCAUAUCGACAAUAGGGUUUACGACCUCGAUGUUGGAUCAGGACACCCAAAUGGUGCAGCAGCUAUUAAAGGUUCGUUU